UUCUUAGGAUUGCUAUAAGAAUUAAAUGUGCCGAUGUGUAUGAAAUUCUUCACACAGACAGGCAUAGAGUAAGUUCUCAGUAAACAGGACCACUGCUAGCAUGCAGAAUGGUGUGCUAUUUAGAAAAAAAUGCUGUUCUCCUUUGGGUAGACAUAUCAGAAAAGAUUUCCUUUCCUCUGGACUGGCUUAGGCUGGUGUCCCGGCUGUUAUCUUGGUGGGCAGAGUACCCUCUCAGCUGGCUACCACUUCAGUUAAUCACAGCCUGAAAAACUGAACGCGAAGGCUGUGACUAGAUGUUCAGUUCAGUUCCGUCACUCAGUCAUGUCCAACUCUUUGUAACCCCAUGGACUGCAGCACACCAGGCUUCCCAGUCCAUCACCAACUCCUAGAGUUUGCUAGAUGACUGGAUGUUAUCUAGUCAUCUGUGAUAACAGAUAUCUGUGACUAGAUGUUAGCUAUAUUAGUAAUAAUUCCACGUGAGGGUGGGAAUGAGCUUGAGCCAGGAUUCUCCCGCAGCAGGCUUUGAAAAUGACAGGGUGGGGGUGGGGUGGAGGGGGUAGAAGGAGAGGGAGCAUAGGAGUGGGAAUGAUGCGUCUCACUUCUCAGAAGCACAGUGCUGCGUUCAGCAGACGCUCAUCUUGAUAAAUUUCAGCAAGCACAAAGGCACGACGACAGGUGAUUUUCCCUUCCUGAGCUUGGUACCAGCUGAUCACUUCCUGUUUCUCUAAGAGCUUCCCAGACAGAGGCGAUUUGCUCUUUCAAAUUUGGUCAUUGCCCUCUGGCUUUCCCGUGUGAGUCAGCGUCGCUGCCCUAGUGCCCUCGGCUCCCUCCCGAGUCAGUGUCUGCAGGCGGCCUCCCCAGAUGAGGAAACUGAGGUGCUGGGAAGUAAAGACCUGAGCUCCAGGUCAUGUAGCCAACAGGUGGUGAAGUGCACACGCAAGCAGGCUGCCUCUUAAGCAUUAACCUUUGUGACUCGGGGUUGGAUAAUCUUGGAGACAAAGCAUGAGUUCUGAGCUCAGGACUCCUAAUUCUGUGUUGAUGUGGCACUGGCUGAGUUUCUGAGACAGAAAGAGCGAGAGAAGUUAACCUCCUUAUAUUCCCUACUUGACAAAAACGUGAGAACAUGAAUAUGACCAAAAAAACCCUUUGGCUAGAACAUUUUCAGAUCCUAAGAGAUAAAACCAAACAGCUCCUGGGACAACAUGGAAGAGGAUCUUGGAAGAAGUUGCAGGUGGACUGUGUCAGAGGUGCCCUAGCAGGAGUAGGCAUGCAGACAAGAACAAGGGAGGGAUGAGAAAUUCCUCUCCAAGUUGCAAACACGUGCAGCAUCCCAGGAGCUGCCACUGUCCCUUUCCUUCCCGCAGUGACAAGGGGCAGGGAGGGAGCCUAUGACUCACUGCACCUGGUGAGAUGCUGAUGCCACAGGUACUUCCAUGAAUAGAGACCAGUUGGUCUUACCCUGUUCCUUGGUGCCAGUCUUAUCCUGAGUCUUUCUCCUUCCCCCAGAUUGGCCACCUUAUAAAGGAAAGAGAAAAGCCUACUUAUUGUCUGCUGCUUGAAAUGCAACUAUUGAAAUUAAUGUGGAGGAGGAGGCUUAUGUUUUCCCCUCACAGAUCAGUUCAGUGUGAGGCUUGGGAUUGGCAGAGAAGAAGUAGAGAUCUGGGAUGCCUUUUUAUCCCUUGAUCUGAAAGGGAAAACUUACACUUCUGCAGUUAAGGCAAGUUGAGGGAGACUGGAAGCUUCCCCCUAAGGAUGGCUAACCAUAAACUAUGUCACUGAGAUCUCUCCCCACGUCCUCUCAAGGAUGUCUGAAGAUGCCCAUCUCAGCCUGACUUGAGUCUAGAGAGUACAAGAGGCCUGUCUGAAGUUAGGAUAAUUGCAUCAGACACUUAUAGAACACCUAGGAAGUGGUCUGCUGGAAUCUUCUCAGUACAGUUUUCUCAGUCCCCUUGAGUGAGGUCCUAUUGCCAUCUUCAUUUUUUUAGAUGACAAAACUGAGGCCUUUGAAAUCUGAUUUAAAAGUUGUUACUUUUAGUAGACCUGAAACUAACAUAAUAUUGUACCAUAAAUAUUUCAGUUUAAAAGUAAAUACAAAAGUUAAACAAAAGCUGCAAGUUUAAUAGGCCUCUGAUGAGUAGACAUCUUCAGUGAUUACAGUAAAUGAUCUUUAACCAAAAUGAAGCAAUUAAGUUGAUGAUAAAAAUCCAAACAACCAGUUCCAUUGGGAUGAAGAAUAGAAGAAAUGGGAAGUUUCCCACAAGGGAAACUUGUAUGUGUGUGGUGAUGAAGAAAGGCAAGAGUCCAGAGGAAGUGUUCAUUUACCAAGGCAUUUCGUUGAACUCUUUUGUGGCUAAGAAAUGUGUGUGAACUACUUCACUGGGGAAAAGGCAUUUAAAACCACCAGCGACACCGAAAGAACUCAAAACCACCAUACUGUUUCUGCCAAAGCGACAUCACCAGAUAAAUGUGCUAUCAAAAUGAGCGAGUUAGCCAAAGGUAGGGACGUCCCUGGAACAGAGCCACCUGCUUGCACAUCCCCCUCUUGGUUCUGCUGUUUGGGUUCUGUGCAUCUGUGUUGCAGAAGAAAGUUCCUCACAUAUCCUUGGGCAUUUCAGACUUUUCAACGUGACCUCCCUGAAAACCUCCUCCAACAAACCCUCUAAAAUACAGAACCAGAAACUGCUUCUGUCAAGUCAGUUCAAAGUUCAAGUCAGGACAGAGGUCUUUAGGGAAUGAAAUGGUACGCUUUGGGCAUAGAAAACCAUUGUAAAGGAGAUGAUUAAGGAAAUUUAGAAAAAGAAGGAUCUGCUAUUUUUCAAGCCAAAAUGGACUGACAGACUUUGCAGUUCAUCUUGUUUAAAUCAUGGCCAUCAGAAGCCUAUUGUUUAGUGAUUUUCAAAAAAUUUUUGCAUUCUUGAGGCUUUUUGUUUUUUUGUGUGUGUUUUGGUUUUUCAUCUUUUUCUUUUUUUCUUUCUUUUUUUCUUGGAUCAAAUUCAUACUCUGAAUAUUCAUAGACCUUUUCAGGACCUCAACAAAACAGAACCGUGAAAAUAUAAAAUCCUUGACAUGAACCCCCAGUAACACUCAACAGCAAUGUUUUUAACUGAAUUUUAAAACAAAUCAAAAUGAGCUUUGCCUUAUAAAACCACCAGUGAAUUGUGCAGAGUCAGAACUGAAAUUAUAUCUUUUCAUAAGUAUUGCAUUAGAAAAAAAUGAACAUAUCAAUAUCUUUUCCAAAUUCAUAUUCCAAUUAAGUUUCUUGCCCUUUCACAUUAAACAGGAAAAAGUCCCGCUGGUCAGUAGCACACUUCUCUGUCUACUAAAGGACGCUGUCAAAGCAAGGAACAUGACCACUAAAGUGCUACUACUGGAGAGGGUGUCCUACCCUCUGUAAUACCCGGUGAAUGCUGUGCUUUAUCAUCUCACAUAACAGAAAGGUGACCCUUGGGUUGGACUCUGCCUGCACAGUUUUAAGUAGUUACACAUGACAAAAAGAGCUACAGGUUUUGUGAUUAUGGGUUUCUGGAAAAUCCUGGAAGCAGAAGCAGCUUUUUGAGCAUAGCAAGAGAGGAGUCAUAUCCCUUUAGGAAGAGUUUUAACUCUGAACUGACCUCUCCCCACUUAUUCCAUUUUUCCACUCUUUCAAUCCAAGGACAGGUGAACAUGGAAGGCCAAGUCAUUUCCUCAGGAAAGAUGAUCAAUAUUUUAAACAGUGCUGUGGAGUGGGGGGAGUGUUAUGAAUCACAAGGCUUGGUUUCUACUCUUCAUUUGACCUUUUAAAGAGCCUUGACAGUUUUGAAUAACUUAGUUAUCUCAGAGUCAGUAUUCCCAUCUGUAAAAUGGGGCUAUACAUGUAGCACUGUAAGAGGAACAAAGUCAGAGAUGGCGUGAUCUCUUAUGUAUCAUGUUGGUUGUUUCAA